GGGUUGUGAGGUUAAGCGACUAAGCGUACACGGUGGAUGCCCUGGCAGUCAGAGGCGAUGAAGGACGUGCUAAUCUGCGAAAAGCGUCGGUAAGGUGAUAUGAACCGUUAUAGCCGGCGAUGUCCGAAUGGGGAAACCCAGUGUGAUUCGUCACACUAUCGUUAACUGAAUACAUAGGUUAACGAGGCGAACCGGGGGAACUGAAACAUCUAAGUACCCCGAGGAAAAGAAAUCAACCGAGAUUCCCCCAGUAGCGGCGAGCGAACGGGGAGCAGCCCAGAGUCUGAAUCAGCUUGUGUGUUAGUGGAACGGUCUGGAAAGUCCGACGGUACAGGGUGAUAGUCCCGUACACCAAAAUGCACAGGUUGUGAACUCGAAGAGUAGGGCGGGACACGUGGUAUCCUGUCUGAAUAUGGGGGGACCAUCCUCCAAGGCUAAAUACUCCUGACUGACCGAUAGUGAACCAGUACCGUGAGGGAAAGGCGAAAAGAACCCCGGCGAGGGGAGUGAAAAAGAACCUGAAACCGUGUACGUACAAGCAGUGGGAGCACCUUCGGGUGUGACUGCGUACCUUUUGUAUAAUGGGUCAGCGACUUAUAUUCUGUAGCAAGGUUAACCGUAUAGGGGAGCCGCAGGGAAACCGAGUCUUAACUGGGCGUUAAGUUGCAGGGUAUAGACCCGAAACCCGGUGAUCUAGCCAUGGGCAGGUUGAAGGUUGGGUAACACUAACUGGAGGACCGAACCGACUAAUGUUGAAAAAUUAGCGGAUGACUUGUGGCUGGGGGUGAAAGGCCAAUCAAACCGGGAGAUAGCUGGUUCUCCCCGAAAGCUAUUUAGGUAGCGCCUCGUGAAUUCAUCUUCGGGGGUAGAGCACUGUUUCGGCUAGGGGGUCAUCCCGACUUACCAACCCGAUGCAAACUACGAAUACCGAAGAAUGUUAUCACGGGAGACACACGGCGGGUGCUAACGUCCGUCGUGAAGAGGGAAACAACCCAGACCGCCAGCUAAGGUCCCAAAGUCAUGGUUAAGUGGGAAACGAUGUGGGAAGGCACAGACAGCCAGGAUGUUGGCUUAGAAGCAGCCAUCAUUUAAAGAAAGCGUAAUAGCUCACUGGUCGAGUCGGCCUGCGCGGAAGAUGUAACGGGGCUAAACCAUGCACCGAAGCUGCGGCAGCGACACUAUGUGUUGUUGGGUAGGGGAGCGUUCUGUAAGCCUGCGAAGGUGGCCUGUGAGGGUUGCUGGAGGUAUCAGAAGUGCGAAUGCUGACAUAAGUAACGAUAAAGCGGGUGAAAAGCCCGCUCGCCGGAAGACCAAGGGUUCCUGUCCAACGUUAAUCGGGGCAGGGUGAGUCGACCCCUAAGGCGAGGCCGAAAGGCGUAGUCGAUGGGAAACAGGUUAAUAUUCCUGUACUUGGUGUUACUGCGAAGGGGGGACGGAGAAGGCUAUGUUAGCCGGGCGACGGUUGUCCCGGUUUAAGCAUGUAGGCUGAUUGUCCAGGCAAAUCCGGAUAAUCAAGGCUGAGGUGUGAUGACGAGGCACUACGGUGCUGAAGUAACAAAUGCCCUGCUUCCAGGAAAAGCCUCUAAGCAUCAGGUAACAUCAAAUCGUACCCCAAACCGACACAGGUGGUCAGGUAGAGAAUACCAAGGCGCUUGAGAGAACUCGGGUGAAGGAACUAGGCAAAAUGGUGCCGUAACUUCGGGAGAAGGCACGCUGGUGUGUAGGUGAAGUCCCUGCGGAUGGAGCUGAGACCAGUCGAAGAUACCAGCUGGCUGCAACUGUUUAUUAAAAACACAGCACUGUGCAAACACGAAAGUGGACGUAUACGGUGUGACGCCUGCCCGGUGCCGGAAGGUUAAUUGAUGGGGUUAUCCGUAAGGAGAAGCUCUUGAUCGAAGCCCCGGUAAACGGCGGCCGUAACUAUAACGGUCCUAAGGUAGCGAAAUUCCUUGUCGGGUAAGUUCCGACCUGCACGAAUGGCGUAAUGAUGGCCAGGCUGUCUCCACCCGAGACUCAGUGAAAUUGAACUCGCUGUGAAGAUGCAGUGUACCCGCGGCAAGACGGAAAGACCCCGUGAACCUUUACUAUAGCUUGACACUGAACAUUGAGCCUUGAUGUGUAGGAUAGGUGGGAGGCUUUGAAGCGUGGACGCCAGUCUGCGUGGAGCCAACCUUGAAAUACCACCCUUUAAUGUUUGAUGUUCUAACGUUGGCCCCUGACCGGGGUUGCGGACAGUGUCUGGUGGGUAGUUUGACUGGGGCGGUCUCCUCCCAAAGCGUAACGGAGGAGCACGAAGGUUAGCUAAUCCUGGUCGGACAUCAGGAGGUUAGUGCAAUGGCAUAAGCUAGCUUGACUGCGAGCGUGACGGCGCGAGCAGGUGCGAAAGCAGGUCAUAGUGAUCCGGUGGUUCUGAAUGGAAGGGCCAUCGCUCAACGGAUAAAAGGUACUCCGGGGAUAACAGGCUGAUACCGCCCAAGAGUUCAUAUCGACGGCGGUGUUUGGCACCUCGAUGUCGGCUCAUCACAUCCUGGGGCUGAAGUAGGUCCCAAGGGUAUGGCUGUUCGCCAUUUAAAGUGGUACGCGAGCUGGGUUUAGAACGUCGUGAGACAGUUCGGUCCCUAUCUGCCGUGGGCGCUGGAGAAUUGAGGGGGGCUGCUCCUAGUACGAGAGGACCGGAGUGGACGCAUCACUGGUGUUCGGGUUGUCAUGCCAAUGGCACUGCCCGGUAGCUAAAUGCGGAAGAGAUAAGUGCUGAAAGCAUCUAAGCACGAAACUUGCCCCGAGAUGAGUUCUCCCUGAGACUUUAAGUCUCCUGAAGGAACGUUGAAGACGACGACGUUGAUAGGCCGGGUGUGUAAGCGCAGCGAUGCGUUGAGCUAACCGGUACUAAUGAACCGUGAGGCUUAACCUUACAACGCCGAAG
rnacentral:rRNA from 1 species